rnacentral:rRNA from 1 species
AUUGAACGCUGGCGGCAUGCCUUACACAUGCAAGUCGAACGGCAGCACGGGAGCAAUCCUGGUGGCGAGUGGCGAACGGGUGAGUAAUAUAUCGGAACGUGCCCAGUAGUGGGGGAUAGCCCGGCGAAAGCCGGAUUAAUACCGCAUACGACCUGAGGGUGAAAGCGGGGGAUCGCAAGACCUCGCGCUAUUGGAGCGGCCGAUAUCAGAUUAGCUAGUGUGGGUAAAGGCCUACCAAGGCUACGAUCUGUAGUUGGUCUGAGAGGACGACCAGCCACACUGGGACUGAGACACGGCCCAGACUCCUACGGAGGCAGCAGUGGGGAAUUUUGGACAAUGGCGCAAGCCUGAUCCAGCAAAUGCCGCGUGGGUGAAGAAAGGCCUGCGGGUUGUAAAAGCCCG